UCCUGGCUCAGGAUGAACGCUGGCGGCGUGCCUAACACAUGCAAGUCGAGCGAAGCACUUCAUUAGAACUCUUCGGAGGGACGAGGAAGUGACUGAGCGGCGGACGGGUGAGUAACGCGUGGGCAACCUGCCUUACACAGGGGGAUAACAGUUAGAAAUGACUGCUAAUACCGCAUAAGACCACAUUGCCGCAUGGCAGGGUGGUAAAAACUCCGGUGGUGUAAGAUGGGCCCGCGUCUGAUUAGGUAGUUGGCAGGGUAGAGGCCUACCAAGCCUACGAUCAGUAGCCGGCCUGAGAGGGUGGACGGCCACAUUGGGACUGAGACACGGCCCAAACUCCUACGGGAGGCAGCAGUGGGGAAUAUUGCACAAUGGGGGAAACCCUGAUGCAGCGACGCCGCGUGAGUGAGGAAAUAUUUCGGUAUGUAAAGCUCUAUCAGCAGGGAAGAAAAUGACGGUACCUGACUAAGAAGCCCCGGCUAACUACGUGCCAGCAGCCGCGGUAAUACGUAGGGGGCAAGCGUUAUCCG
rnacentral:rRNA from 1 species